rnacentral:rRNA from 1 species
GAUGAACGCUGGCGGCGUGCCUAAUACAUGCAAGUCGAGCGAAUGGAUUAAGAGCUUGCUCUUAUGAAGUUAGCGGCGGACGGGUGAGUAACACGUGGGUAACCUGCCCAUAAGACUGGGAUAACUCCGGGAAACCGGGGCUAAUACCGGAUAACAUUUUGAACCGCAUGGUUCGAAAUUGAAAGGCGGCUUCAGCUGUCACUUAUGGAUGGAACCGCGUCGCAUUAGCUAGUUGGGGAGGUCACGGCUCACCAAGGCAACGAUGCGGAGCCGACCUGAGAGGGUGAUCGGCCACACUGGGACUGAGACACGGCCCAGACUCCUACGGGAGGCAGCAGUAGGGAAUCUUCCGCAAUGGACGAAAGUCUGACGGAGCAACGCCGCGUGAGUGAUGAAGGCUUUCGGGUCGUAAAACUCUGUUGUUAGGGAAGAACAAGUGCUAGUUGAAUAAGCUGGCACCUUGACGGUACCUAACCAGAAAGCCACGGCUAACUACGUGCCAGCAGCCGCAGUAA